GUUUCAGUCGUCUAGCGGUCUAGGACACCUGGUUUUCAUCCAGACAACGUGGGUUCGAGUCCCAUCUGAAACUCCA
rnacentral:tRNA from 1 species